rnacentral:misc_RNA from 1 species
CAACCCUCAAGCCUGGCUUGGUGUUGGGCCUCGCCGUUUUGGCGGGCCUUAAAAUCAGUGGCGGUGCUGUCGAGGCCCUGAGCGUAGUACAUACCCUCGCUAUAGGACCCGGCAGACGCUGGCUAUAAACCCCCAUUCUCUUA